GGCUCGCUGCCGGCAGCAGUGAGAGGAGCACGCCGGGGAAAUGUUUGCAGGAGGAGCCGACUACCGGAGCCGCUGAUCAUACGAUUCGGAGACCUAGUCUAAAUGAAUCAUGGAAUUGGCCAGGUGAUGGCGAGAAGUAUAAGAGUAUAGUCAAGUUUGAAGAUCCUUGGAAACCUCCACUGCUUUGGUCGGGCUGGUAGGAGGCUCCUUGGCACAGGCGC